rnacentral:rRNA from 1 species
CUACACGACCGUACCGCAAACCGACACUGGUGCGCGAGAUGAGUAUUCUAAGGCGCUUGAGAGAACUCAGGAGAAGGAACUCGGCAAAUUGACACCGUAACUUCGGAAGAAGGUGUGCCUUUAGUAGGUGAACCAUUUACUUGGGGAGCCCAAUGAGGCUGCAAAAAAUCGGUGGCUGCAACUGUUUAUUAAAAACACAGCACUCUGCUAAGACGAAAGUCGACGUAUAGGGUGUGACGCCUGCCCGGUGCUGGAAGAUUAAAUGAUGGGGUGCAAGCUCUUGAUUGAAGUCCCAGUAAACGGCGGCCGUAACAAUAACGGUCCUAAGGUAGCGAAAUUCCUUGUCGGGUAAGUUCCGACCUGCACGAAUGGCGUAAUGAUGGCCACACUGUCUCCUCCUGAGACUCAGCGAAGUUGAAAUGUUUGUGAUGAUGCAAUCUCCCCGCGGAAAGACGGAAAGACCCCAUGAACCUUUACUGUAGCUUUGUAUUGGACUUUGAACAGAUCUGUGUAGGAUAGGUGGGAGGCUUUGAAGUGUGGUCGCUAGAUCGCAUGGAGCCAACGUUGAAAUACCACCCUGGUGUGUUUGAGGUUCUAACCUAGGUCCAUUAUCUGGAUCGGGGACAGUGCAUGGUAGGCAGUUUGACUGGGGCGGUCUCCUCCCAAAGUGUAACGGAGGAGUUCGAAGGUACGCUAGGUACGGUCGGACAUCGUGCUAAUAGUGCAAUGGCAUAAGCGUGCUUAACUGCGAGACUGACAAGUCGAGCAGAUGCGAAAGCAGGACAUAGUGAUCCGGUGGUUCUGUAUGGAAGGGCCAUCGCUCAACGGAUAAAAGGUACUCUGGGGAUAACAGGCUGAUACCGCCCAAGAGUUCAUAUCGACGGCGGUGUUUGGCACCUCGAUGUCGGCUCAUCUCAUCCUGGGGCUGUAGCCGGUCCCAAGGGUAUGGCUGUUCGCCAUUUAAAGAGGUACGUGAGCUGGGUUUAAAACGUCGUGAGACAGUUUGGUCCCUAUCUUCCGUGGGCGCUGCAGAUUUGAGGAAGCCUGCUCCUAGUACGAGAGGACCGGAGUGGACGAACCUCUGGUGUAUCGGUUGUCACGCCAGUGGCAUUGCCGAGUAGCUAAGUUCGGAAGAGAUAACCGCUGAAAGCAUCUAAGCGGGAAACUCGUUUCAAGAUUAGAUCUGCCGGGGCCUUGAGCCCCCUAAAGAGUCGUUCAAGACCAGGACGUUGAUAGGUCAGGUGUGGAAGCGAAG